rnacentral:lncRNA from 1 species
CAGCGGCGCGUUCCAGCACGCAGAAGCCCUUUCCCAGCCGUUACCUCCCUGGCACUGCGCAACGGCCCCCGCCCCGGCCCAGGGAGUCUCUCCAGAAGCGGGAGACUAAAUAACCAGGACAAAGGAGCGCGCCUCUACAGAAUACUUGUUAUGAAGUUGGAAGACUGAAUAAAUGUGUCAAAGAACGAAGGGAUAAUAUAGCUCAGUACAUAUGAUUGAAAAUGACUCUUGUUUUAUAGCCUUCUGGAGGUCUUCCCGUAAAACAGCAAGACGACACUGUUCAAUUAAUGGUUUUGAAGAGCGCUUUUGCCCGGCUGCGGGGAGACGAGCGCAAUAAUCAGACAUACUGUACUCAAGAAGUACCAGCACUUGCCCUUUGUCAACAUGGCAUCCAAAAAGACUUCAGGAAAGGGCGAUGGAAG